rnacentral:rRNA from 1 species
CCUACGGGUGGCUGCAGUGAGGAAUAUUGGUCAAUGGACGAGAGUCUGAACCAGCCAAGUAGCGUGAAGGAUGACUGCCCUAUGGGUUGUAAACUUCUUUUAUAUGGGAAUAAAAUGUUCCACGUGUGGGAUUUUGUAUGUACCAUAUGCAUAAGGAUCGGCUAACUCCGUGCCAGCAGCCGCGGUAAUACGGAGGAUCCGAGCGUUAUCCGGAUUUAUUGGGUUUAAAGGGAGCGUAGGUGGAUUGUUAAGUCAGUUGUGAAAGUUUGCGGCUCAACCGUAAAAUUGCAGUUGAAACUGGCAGUCUUGAGUACAGUAGAGGUGGGCGGAAUUCGUGGUGGAGCGGUGAAAUGCUUAGAUAUCACGAAGAACUCCGAUUGCGAAGGCAGUUCACUGGACUGCAACUGACACUGAGGCUCGAAAGUGUGGGUAUCAAACAGGAUUAGAUACCCGUGUAGUC